rnacentral:rRNA from 1 species
GAUGAACGCUGGCGGCGUGCUUAACACAUGCAAGUCGAACGGAAAGGCCCAAGCUUGCUUGGGUACUCGAGUGGCGAACGGGUGAGUAACACGUGGGUGAUCUGCCCUGCACUUCGGGAUAAGCCUGGGAAACUGGGUCUAAUACCGGAUAGGACCACGUCUUGGAUGUUGUGGUGGAAAGUUUUUUCGGUGUGGGAUGAGCUCGCGGCCUAUCAGCUUGUUGGUGGGGUAAUGGCCUACCAAGGCGUCGACGGGGAGCCGGCCUGAGAGGGUGUACGGCCACAUUGGGACUGGGAUACGGCCCAGACUCCUACGGGAGGCAGCAGUGGGGAAUAUUGCACAAUGGGCGCAAGCCUGAUGCAGCGACGCCGCGUGGGGGAUGACGGCCUUCGGGUUGUAAACUCCUUUCGCUAGGGACGAAGCGUUUUUGUGACGGUACCUGGAGAAGAAGCACCGGCUAACUACGUG